rnacentral:rRNA from 1 species
GCGUCCGUAGCUGGCCCUGCAAGUCCGUCGGGAAAUCCACUCGCCUAACGAGUGGGCGUCCGGCGGAAACUACAGGGCUUGGGACCGGAAGACUUGAGGGGUACGUCCGGGGUAGGAGUGAAAUCCUGUAAUCCUGGACGGACCGCCGAUAGCGAAAGCACCUCAAGACGACGGAUCCGACAGUGAGGGACGAAAGCUAGGGUCUCGAAC